GUGCUUGCUUUGGCAACACAUAUAUUAAAAUUGGAACGAUAGAGAUUAACAUGGCCCCUGCGCAAGGAUGACGACAUGCAAAUUCAUGAAGCGUUCCAUAUUUUU